rnacentral:rRNA from 1 species
GGGUUGUGAGGUUAAGCGACUAAGCGUACACGGUGGAUGCCCUGGCAGUCAGAGGCGAUGAAGGACGUGCUAAUCUGCGAAAAGCGUCGGUAAGGUGAUAUGAACCGUUAUAGCCGGCGAUGUCCGAAUGGGGAAACCCAGUGCAAUUCGUUGCACUAUCGUUUGAUGAAUACAUAGUCAAACGAGGCGAACCGGGGGAACUGAAACAUCUAAGUACCCCGAGGAAAAGAAAUCAACCGAGAUUCCCCCAGUAGCGGCGAGCGAACGGGGAGCAGCCCGGAGUCUGAAUCAGCUUGUGUGUUAGUGGAAGCGUCUGGAAAGUCGCAGGGUACAGGGUGAUACUCCCGUACACUAAAACACACAGGUUGUGAACUCGAAGAGUAGGGCGGGACACGUGGUAUCCUGUCUGAAUAUGGGGGGACCAUCCUCCAAGGCUAAAUACUCCUGACUGACCGAUAGUGAACCAGUACCGUGAGGGAAAGGCGAAAAGAACCCCGGCGAGGGGAGUGAAAAAGAACCUGAAACCGUGUACGUACAAGCAGUAGGAGCCCACUUGUUGGGUGACUGCGUACCUUUUGUAUAAUGGGUCAGCGACUUAUAUUCUGUAGCAAGGUUAACCGUAUAGGGGAGCCGCAGGGAAACCGAGUCUUAACUGGGCGUUAAGUUGCAGGGUAUAGACCCGAAACCCGGUGAUCUAGCCAUGGGCAGGUUGAAGGUUGGGUAACACUAACUGGAGGACCGAACCGACUAAUGUUGAAAAAUUAGCGGAUGACUUGUGGCUGGGGGUGAAAGGCCAAUCAAACCGGGAGAUAGCUGGUUCUCCCCGAAAGCUAUUUAGGUAGCGCCUCGUGAACUCAUCUUCGGGGGUAGAGCACUGUUUCGGCUAGGGGGUCAUCCCGACUUACCAACCCGAUGCAAACUACGAAUACCGAAGAAUGUUAUCACGGGAGACACACGGCGGGUGCUAACGUCCGUCGUGAAGAGGGAAACAACCCAGACCGCCAGCUAAGGUCCCAAAGUCAUGGUUAAGUGGGAAACGAUGUGGGAAGGCCCAGACAGCCAGGAUGUUGGCUUAGAAGCAGCCAUCAUUUAAAGAAAGCGUAAUAGCUCACUGGUCGAGUCGGCCUGCGCGGAAGAUGUAACGGGGCUAAACCAUGCACCGAAGCUGCGGCAGCGACGCUUAUGCGUUGUUGGGUAGGGGAGCGUUCUGUAAGCCGUUGAAGGUGGCCUGUGAGGGUUGCUGGAGGUAUCAGAAGUGCGAAUGCUGACAUAAGUAACGAUAAUGCGGGUGAAAAACCCGCACGCCGGAAGACCAAGGGUUCCUGUCCAACGUUAAUCGGGGCAGGGUGAGUCGACCCCUAAGGCGAGGCCGAAAGGCGUAGUCGAUGGGAAACAGGUUAAUAUUCCUGUACUCGGUGUUACUGCGAAGGGGGGACGGAGAAGGCUAUGUUGGCCGGGCGACGGUUGUCCCGGUUUAAGCAUGUAGGCGGAUGUUCCAGGUAAAUCCGGAACGUUAUUAACGCUGAGGUGUGAUGACGAGGCACUACGGUGCUGAAGUGACAAAUGCCCUGCUUCCAGGAAAAGCCUCUAAGCAUCAGGUAACAUCAAAUCGUACCCCAAACCGACACAGGUGGUCAGGUAGAGAAUACCAAGGCGCUUGAGAGAACUCGGGUGAAGGAACUAGGCAAAAUGGUGCCGUAACUUCGGGAGAAGGCACGCUGAUGGUAAGUGAAGUGACUUGCUCAUGGAGCUGAAAUCAGUCGAAGAUACCAGCUGGCUGCAACUGUUUAUUAAAAACACAGCACUGUGCAAACACGAAAGUGGACGUAUACGGUGUGACGCCUGCCCGGUGCCGGAAGGUUAAUUGAUGGGGUUAUCCGUAAGGAGAAGCUCUUGAUCGAAGCCCCGGUAAACGGCGGCCGUAACUAUAACGGUCCUAAGGUAGCGAAAUUCCUUGUCGGGUAAGUUCCGACCUGCACGAAUGGCGUAAUGAUGGCCAGGCUGUCUCCACCCGAGACUCAGUGAAAUUGAACUCGCUGUGAAGAUGCAGUGUACCCGCGGCAAGACGGAAAGACCCCGUGAACCUUUACUAUAGCUUGACACUGAACACUGGUCCUUGAUGUGUAGGAUAGGUGGGAGGCUUUGAAGUGUGGACGCCAGUCUGCAUGGAGCCAUCCUUGAAAUACCACCCUUUAAUGGCUGGUGUUCUAACGUGGGCCCCUAAUCGGGGUUGCGGACAGUGUCUGGUGGGUAGUUUGACUGGGGCGGUCUCCUCCUAAAGAGUAACGGAGGAGCACGAAGGUCAGCUAAUCCUGGUCGGACAUCAGGAGGUUAGUGCAAUGGCAUAAGCUGGCUUGACUGCGAGCGUGACGGCGCGAGCAGGUGCGAAAGCAGGUCAUAGUGAUCCGGUGGUUCUGAAUGGAAGGGCCAUCGCUCAACGGAUAAAAGGUACUCCGGGGAUAACAGGCUGAUACCGCCCAAGAGUUCAUAUCGACGGCGGUGUUUGGCACCUCGAUGUCGGCUCAUCACAUCCUGGGGCUGAAGUAGGUCCCAAGGGUAUGGCUGUUCGCCAUUUAAAGUGGUACGCGAGCUGGGUUUAGAACGUCGUGAGACAGUUCGGUCCCUAUCUGCCGUGGGCGCUGGAGAAUUGAGGGGGGCUGCUCCUAGUACGAGAGGACCGGAGUGGACGCAUCACUGGUGUUCGGGUUGUCAUGCCAAUGGCAUUGCCCGGUAGCUAAAUGCGGAAGAGAUAAGUGCUGAAAGCAUCUAAGCACGAAACUUGCCCCGAGAUGAGUUCUCCCUGACUCCUUGAGAGUCCUGAAGGAACGUUGAAGACGACGACGUUGAUAGGCCGGGUGUGUAAGCGCAGCGAUGCGUUGAGCUAACCGGUACUAAUGAACCGUGAGGCUUAACCUUACAACGCCGAAG